AACGAACGCUGGCGGCAGGCCUAACACAUGCAAGUCGAGCGCUCACCUUCGGGUGGGAGCGGCGCACGGGUGAGUAACACGUGGGAACCUACCUUGAAGUACGGAAUAACUGAGGGAAACUUCAGCUAAUACCGUAUACGCCCUACGGGGGAAAGAUUUAUCGCUUCAAGACGGGCCCGCGUUGGAUUAGCUAGUUGGUGAGGUAACGGCUCACCAAGGCAACGAUCCAUAGCUGAUUUGAGAGAAUGAUCAGCCACGCUGGGACUGAGACACGGCCCUGACUCCUACGGGAGGCAGCAGUGGGGAAUAUUGGACAAUGGGCGCAAGCCUGAUCCAGCCAUGCCGCGUGAGUGAUGAAGGCCUUCGGGUUGUAAAGCUCUUUCAGAUGGGACGAUGAUGACGGUACCAUCAGAAGAAGCCCCGGCUAACUUCGUGCCAGCCGCCGCCGUAAUAC
rnacentral:rRNA from 1 species